GGAGGACUCUGGAGUCAGUAACAGAAGAAAGUCAGUCCCGCGAGAGCGCGGCUGGCGGGGAGCUGCGGUGCCGCAGUGGGAGGGGGACUGCGAAGACGAAGGUGGCGAUAUCCGUGUGUAUCUGGAAGCUGUGUUCCUCCUCUGUGGGUAGGACUGAAGAGACCUCCUUGCCUUUGGUAAGAAGUUAUCUUGGGAAGAGAUGGGUCAUAACCCUCUGCGGCUUGGAAGACUGUAGGAACCGUCUUGCUCCUUUGGUUUGAUUGAGCAUUUCAGUUUCUUUAUAAUUGGCUGCCAAAGUAUUGAAGAAUUUGUGCAUCUUUAACCUUUGGAGAAACACAAAUGCAGCUCACAGCGUGUGGAAUCUGAUUGUGUUACUCAUCUCGGUGGUGGAACUGACUCCUAACAAAAGCAGCAGAGUCCUACUUUAAACACCUCAGCAAACAAAACAUGGAAAUGGAAAGAGUUCCUGGGUCAUCUAGUCCAGCUCCCUCAUAUUGCAAGCCUCGGCAAGCAAACAGCACACAGACCUUACCAGAAAAGAAGACACUGGGUGCCAAAGACUGUUUGUGGCCUUUGUCACUAGGUCACCUCCUCAUUCAGCAUUUCACUGAUGGAUUGCAUCCCAUGAGUUUCCUUACUUUUUCACAGUAAUACCAUAUUAUCUCCAGUGACUGACUAUUAUACUGUAGAGUGUUUCCUCCACUGCUGUUGCUGGUUGUCUCAGCUUUCAUGCUUGGAAUGAUACAACUCCAUUGGUUGCACUGACCGGCUCUCCAUUGGUCUGGAGACAACCACACCAUAGACACCUGAAGUUGCAUGUCUGAAUGUGGACCUAAUUUACACCUUUAGUUUUUGUUCUUAGGUCAUUAAUGAAAAUAUCACAGAGGACUUAUUGCAAGGCUCUCCACUAAUAUUAUCCCUCCAGUCCAGAAACUGUUCUUUUACUGUAAUCUUCUAUCCACUUUCUAACCAUUCCGCUUUACAUUUUGUGCUAAGCACUGUCUUCUUCAGGCUAACAUGGAAGUGCUUCAAUUAUAACUGGCAUUUUGUAAAAUGCCUAGUUGAAGCCUAGAUUGAUUGAACACGCAUCGUGCUUUGGUGCAAAAAAUCAGUUACCAGGUUACUGACACAACCAACAUUUCACAACCUCUUUUUGUAUUAGGUCUCGGUUUAUCUCCUUAUUGGCAGUUAGUCUUUAAUCAAAAAUAUGUUCUAAAGUCUUGCUGAUGAUGAAAUCCUUUUUUUCCUGUUUCUUAAAGACAAGUAAGUGGUUCACUACUAUGUGUUUUUACUGCAGGAGCUCAUGUUUGGUAGAUUUACUAAAAGCCCUUACAAUUAUUUUAGAACAAGCAGUUUCAAUAUUCCUGAAUGUACAUUGAUCAAAUACUCUUAACCAUAUAAGUGAUUACAUUUCAUCUGAUAUUUCUUCAGUUCUUGCUUCUCUAUGAUUCUGGUACUUUUUUUUUCCUCACAAAACUAAAAUUUUACCUUUUCUUGCUGGAGCAGAUUUUCAGUUGAUCAUACAAUGAAAAUUACCUAUACUUACAGAAAAAUGACACUCCUAUGCCUUGCAAUAUACUGCAAACUGUUGGCUAAUAUAACUUCAUUAUGGAAAAAAUGCCUUUUUUUCCUCUUUGUAAGCUAGAUUAGCACCUUGUGGUUCAUGCCAAAUAAGAAAAAAAUGAAUAGGUUUGCAGAGACAGGAGUCAAGCCAAGACUGAAUUAGUAUAGUCUUUUGCACAGUUUGCUUUUCCUUACAGUCAACUUAAUAUACCUGAAUGUUCCAUCUGCUACCAGUUGAGAGUUUCAGCUUAAAGUCACUAUUUCUGAUCGUAUAAUAUGGGUAUCCUGUGCAAGAAUGACAAUGUUUCAUGUUCUCUCUUGCCUCUCUGCACAUUUGUAUUAGAAAAAGAACUUUAGAUUUGCCUGCUAGUAACUUCACUGUCUUUUUUAUAGUUAUAGCCUUUUGUUUCUUCUUUUUGUGUAAAGGAAAGCUAUCAUACGUGAUCAUUUGGCCUAGAAGAGAAAAAAACCAAAACCCAAUUCACUUUGCUAGGUUAUAAAACCAGCUGGCUUCCCCAUGAAUUUGAGAAUGGUAUUGGACAUGCUGUGGUCUGAUCAUUGCUGCCCAGUGAGGACGGUAAAGAGCAUUGGGAAAUUCUGCUUUCUGGUUCCUGGAUGACAGGGAAUUUGCUUCAAAGUUAAAGCUACCAGAAUAGGUUGUUACUGAACAAUAGUGAGAUCUCAUAGGUGAAGAUGUGAUUACCGACUUUCAGCUACAUUUCUUAAUUGUAUUCGUUUGAACUUGUAUGUGAAUUGCACAUUGAUAACUGUACAUGCAUUUGUUUCUUAAAAGUAUGUAGAGAAAAUAUAUCCCUGAAGAUAAUUAAUUCAUUUUCUGCAUUAGUCAAGUUGCACAAGUGCUAUGUGAUUUUUAUCGUGAUAAACCUGGUAUUUGGGAUGAUGCUGUAAAUGUUGAGAUGGAUUUUUUUUUUAUUAAAUCUCUUCUGUAUUGCAAUUAAAAUGAGAAUUAAGAGCUUUGUUGUAAUAAUUUUACCAUCUUUCUGCGUGUACUCAAGUUUCCUGCUAAAAAUAAAUAUUAAUUUGGACUCCUUUGCUGAAGAUGGUGAGGAUUUUUGUUCCAUCUAAACCAUUACUGUGAAUUGUGGUUAACACAAAUCUACAAUAACUUUUUAUCUAAGUUUCAGAUGCCCUUGAAAGACAUGAAAAGCUUGAAAACGGUCAUGGAUCUGCCAAUCUCCAACACAAGUACCUUUUUAAAAAACAUACAUAUUUCCUCCUGAUAUUAAUAGAGAGGAAAAGCUGGUAAAUAAAGACUCCAGUAUAAAAAUCAGCAAAGUGGAAAAAAAAAAAAAGUAUUAGUGUUUUAGCAGAGUUAUGCAAUGUAUAAAGCUUACAGAGAAAUGCAAAACCAGACCAAUAUCAUAUUUAAUUAAGAUCCCUGUCCAACCUGUGUAGGACUAGAAAAGACUUUAAUGGGAUAGUCAAAACAGCCUUUUUUGUAUGGGAUGCCUGUUCGAACUGCUCACGUAGCAUGAUCACAUAGGGAAAUCAAGUAUUGAUGGUUUUUAAACAAUUUCAUUGCCAGGUUACAAGGCCAAUGUUGAUUCAAACACCUGAAGAAUUUUCUCUUUUUGAAAGUUUUUGCUUUUAGGUUUUUACAGAACAAGAUAUAUGUAUGGGAGCAAGGAAUGGAUGGGUCUGCAUAAUACAUCAGUUCUGUUCUUUUGCAAAUGAAGAUAGAAUUGAUUUCAGUUUUACACAAAAUAUAUCUUAAGCUUAGGUUUGGGCAUGAGCUAUAGAGAUACAUUUUUAUGUUAAAGAGUAAACACUGAUGUAUGAAAGCACACGUAAAACAUUGUAAAAUGUAUACAAAGACUGUCUGAGGAAAAAGAAAUGCUUUUCCUUCCUCAAAAUACAAAUCUAUUAUAAAAAGGGUUCGAGUUAGCAUUCUAUAACCCCACAAAGCUCAUACAAAACCAAAAUGGUGACUGGGCAGUCAUGACUGGCCAUUAUCUAGCGAAAUGAUUAAAGAAAGAAGAGUAACUAAAACAUAAAAUGAAGGACGAUUAGUUUACAGAACAAUGAAGG